UGCUCGGGCAGCGACAGCAUCUCAUGCACGCCUCUUCAAUUGUUGGCACAAGUGCUCGCUCGCUUUGGCCGAUGUCGGUUUCCUGUGUUGGAUACCUAUUGGGAAGGCAUUCACGUUGGCUAAUUUGUCCCGAUUCCUCCCUGUGCUGCUGCGCCAUUUGGUGCUUGCGGUGUGGGGGGGACCUCAGAGCAUUCGCCGUGUGUCGCAGUCCACGCGCUUUUAUACGAGUGCUUGGGCUGACGACCCAUGGCGACUUGCCCGAUCUCUCGGAUGCGGAACACUAGCGGGUACGAGGCCACGACCUCUAAAUGCCCCUAAAAAAGAGCGUUCUACGCUUCGUGCGAACGACGGUCGCUUCGGUUUUGCUCGUAAGCCCUCGUGGCUUGGAUCAUGCCGGGACGACGUCGAAUGAGGAAUGCUACCUGGUUGAUCCU
rnacentral:misc_RNA from 1 species